AAUACCGCAUACGAUCUGUGGAUGAAAGCGGGGGAUCCUUCGGGACCUCGCGCUACAGGGGCGGCCGAUGGCAGAUUAGCUAGUUGGUGGGGUAAAGGCCUACCAAGGCGACGAUCUGUAGCUGGUCUGAGAGGACGACCAGCCACACUGGGACUGAGACACGGCCCAGACUCCUACGGGAGGCAGCAGUGGGGAAUUUUGGACAAUGGGCGAAAGCCUGAUCCAGCAAUGCCGCGUGUGUGAAGAAGGCCUUCGGGUUGUAAAGCACUUUUGUCCGGAAAGAAAACCUCGUGGUUAAUACCCGUGGGGGAUGACGGUACCGGAAGAAUAAGCACCGGCUAACUACGUGCCAGCAGCCGCGGUAAUACGUAGGGUGCAAGCGUUAAUCGGAAUUACUGGGCGUAAAGCGUGCGCAGGCGGUCCGCUAAGACAGAUGUGAAAUCCCCGGGCUUAACCUGGGAACUGCAUUUGUGACUGGCGGGCUAGAGUAUGGC
rnacentral:rRNA from 1 species